AUUCAUCGCACACUGUUCUAAACCCAGAUUCAUCGCACAAUGUUCUAAACCCCAUAUUCAUCGCAUUUCACAUAAACCUUUUUCACGGAAACUCUUCUCACCAAAACUUUUCGCUCAUUUCACAGUUUAGCAUCGUGGUUCACCACCGACAACGGAGCUGAAGAAGUUUGAGAAGAAACCAUCGCUCAUUUAACAGUGACGAAAAUGAAGCUGAAGAAGUUUGAGAGGAAACCAUCUCUCAUUUCACAGUGAUGACAACGAAGCUGAAGCUGUUUGAUCAAACUCCCCAACCAAAUAACCCAAAACAAACUUCAUCGUGACGGCGGUGAUGCCGAAUUGCUUCACGUUUCUGAUGAUCAUUGAGUCGUGUGCAAAGUCGAAAGGAUUUGUAGAAGGUGAAGAAGUUCAUUGUUGUGCUACGAAGUGCUGUUUUAAGUCGAAUUCCUUUAUGGCUACUUCGUUGAUUGAUCUGAACUCGGCAAAGGGUUGUAUUGAAGAUGCUUAUAAAGUGUUUGGUGAAAUGCGUGAGAGUAAUGUUGUUGUGUGGACUGUUGUUAUAAGCGCUUAUAUAUCUCGUGGUGAUGUGGCUUCUGGGAGAAGAAGUUGAAGAAAUUGAUGGUUAUUGUGAAACUUGGGGAAGAAUAGAUUUACAGGAUCAGUUCCAAGCGGCGGCGGGUACGAACGGGCAAGUGGACAUAUUUGUUAUGGGAAUAGGUAGCGGCGGCACUGUUUCUGGGGUUGGACAGUAUCUUAAAUCCCAAAACCCCAAUGUUUAGAUAUAUGGAGUGGAGCCAUCUGAAAGUAAUGUGCUCAAUGGUGGUAAACC